rnacentral:rRNA from 1 species
GACGAACGCUGGCGGCGUGCUUAACACAUGCAAGUCGAACGAAGAGCGAUGGAAGCUUGCUUCUAUCAAUCUUAGUGGCGAACGGGUGAGUAACGCGUAAUCAACCUGCCCUUCAGAGGGGGACAACAGUUGGAAACGACUGCUAAUACCGCAUACGAUCUAAUCUCGGCAUCGAGGAUAGAUGAAAGGUGGCCUCUACAUGUAAGCUAUCACUGAAGGAGGGGAUUGCGUCUGAUUAGCUAGUUGGAGGGGUAACGGCCCACCAAGGCGAUGAUCAGUAGCCGGUCUGAGAGGAUGAACGGCCACAUUGGGACUGAGACACGGCCCAGACUCCUACGGGAGGCAGCAGGGGGGAAUCUUCCGCAAUGGACGAAAGUCUGACGGAGCAACGCCGCGUGAGUGAUGACGGCCUUCGGGUUGUAAAGCUCUGUUAAUCGGGACGAAAGGCCUUCUUGCGAAUAGGGAGAAGGAUUGACGGUACCGGAAUAGAAAGCCACGGCUAACUACGUG